UAUAUAUCUCCAUUGAAUCCUUUGAAGUCUUCACAUCAGUCUUCUAACAAAGCAUCUGUAGUGACAAAAAUUCUGCAUAAUGGCUUUUCGCAUAAACCAAACUUUUCUUUUGGGGCUUUUAUGCCUUGCUUUGCUUUUUUCUUCAGGGUUAGCAGAAGAUUGGGGCCUCCCAGGACAAAGCUGCGAAAAAGGCAAAUGUGAAAGGGUACAGUGUUCUCUGAACUGUGCUAGGAAGGGUUUCAGAUCAGGUUCAUGUGUAGCAUGGGCUCCUGUUAUUAUCGUGUGCUGCUGUAACAAAUAACUUAAUUUUCAACGUAUGAAAAUAAAAAAAAAGUUUGCAUACCAACUUCGCAUUCAAACUUUGAUUAGUCAGAAAUUGAUGUAUUGUCUUUGAAUUUGAUUGAAUAAUAGGAAAUUUGAUAUUAAUGUAUUAA